CUGUGUCUGUAAUACAAUUAAAGUUAAUAUAGCAGUGGUUCAGACAAGUGCUUUAAUUUCGGAGCACUUGACUACUUUUGUAAGUGCUACUGUUUGUCUUCUUUUUCCAUUUCAGAAACAAACAAAUGACAGAUGUAUUCAGCUACAAACUUUUCUGCCUUACUCCCUAAUCGGGAAUUGAUUUCUGCUUUCUUCUUAUAUGCAUUUCAAAUUUCAAAUUCACGUAGUUCCCUGUACUUAUUCCUACAAUACAACCCUUAAAUCAAAAUGUGAAGCUUCCAGGAGAAGCCAAACUUUGAAUUUCAAAUCAUAUGACACAGACCCAGUUCCUCUGCUUUUGCUACAGAGGUUUUUCAAAAGCUCAGAAAUCUCAUCUCUACGAAGAAAACCCCCGUCUUAUAAUACCAUUGACUGAGAAUGUAUAUCACAUAUACUCUUUCCCCAUAAAAACCCAAAUUCUCUCUGUGAUGUGUGUUCCUUAAACAAAAAGCUCCGUAUACAAUACUUCAAAUGUAUAUUUGAUUUGUGGUAGGGAUGCCGCCGGGAAGGGGGAGUGUUGUCUCUAAUGUGGAUGGCGUUUGGGCAGAAAGAUGGGAAUGCUGAUGAUUGUGUAGCUAAAGAGAAAGAUGGUUUAGGCAUGCUACACUUUAGUACUGUGACAAUAACUCUGCAGAAACAAUUGCUAAUGUUCUUACAUCAAUUUCUUUUGCGGUUCUCGGAUACAAAACCCCUAGUAUUACACUGAUCCUAUCAGUAGAUACUUAUUUCUCUCCUUGAAGGACAAGCAAUCGAUAUUUCACGAUCAAGGGUUGUAAGCGCUAUCUCAAAACUGGAGUAUUAGGAAAGUCUUCAUACAAGCCCAAGGAUAAAGAUCAUGUUGAUAUGGAGGUGGAAAGUGAUAAUAUAUCUUCGCUUGCCAUAGAUCAAGGAAAGGAGGUACAAGACGGAGGAAAUGAUAAACUGGGUACUGAGAAUAAAGAAGAGAUACUUACUCCUACCAUCACAGAAGAUCACAUAUGCCUCCAGUAUCCAAAUUCUGAUCAGAGUAAGCUUAUAUAUGUAGUCUCAUAAUAUGCUACUACUGCACUUCUGCUCCAGUUUCGCUGUAUCUUGAAUAGUUGUCAUCUUCUGUUUAUGUUUUACUGUUUUAGUUCUCUUCUUAACAUGCUUCUUUUUGUCUUUUGUUUUUGUCUCCAGUUUUAGUGUCCAUUUUCAUGUAAAGCCUCUGAGAGUCUAAAACAUUAGUCAGAUACAUUAAUUUGCCUUCUCCUUUAAUAUCAUAAUUAAUAAUAAGAUAGAUGAGGUAUUUAAGUUGUAAUGAGGUAUUUGAAAGAGCUGCAAGCUGCGGACUACUGUCAAAUAUGAUACUGUAUUUUAUAAUGGAUUACGGGAUGAGCUUGACAAAAGGCCUUGGGCUUAUAAUUGCUUCAAGUGUCUGUCAUUGUGUAAGUACUGUGUAAUUAUUGCUUAUAUGUUGUUUGUGUUUUCAAAUUUUUAUUUAAUUAUUAUUAUGUUCUUACUAAACCAAUACUAUGCUUAAGAUAUGCAUUUGCAUGAAGAAGUAGAUUAAAUACAAGUUACAGGAGGGAGGGGAAGAUGGCAACGUCACUGUGUUUGUCUGGAUAAUCUCAGUUAAUCUAUCCAUCGGAUUAUUGAGUUUAUAAAAUCCCGUUUAUAAUUAAGUUUUCAUGUUCUUGCAGGUUAAUUACAAUCAUCUAAAACUUGAUAAUUUUGCUUCUUUCAUAUCUGAUUUUGGUAUGUCUGCGCACCUUAUUGCUUCAUCUUCAGUUUAUUGGUUUAAGUUUAAGAUUGAGUAUGUAGUCUUUUGAUCCUGGUGGUGUUUCGGUUGAUGAUUUAGGACAUCAUGCGGGGUACUUUCAGAUUCAGCAUUCUCACACUGCUUAGGAAAGGAGCUGUUUUACAGAGUAAUGAGGAUGGUUUUUGACUACAUUUAUGUGUCAAGCCCGAAUUCUAUAUCCUCGAUCUAUAUUGUAGAAGUUUGAGAAGGACUACUUUAUUUGCACUGGUCCAGCUUCAAUGUUAGUACCAGUUGUUGUAAAUCCCGGUGAAGAGUGGAGGGGCACAGGUCAUGGAACAUGAUAAUUUGUGAUCAUAAAUUUAUAUAUAUGAUUACUGAAUCAAGUAAUCUAUUUUUCUCUCCCAAUAGAUGUAAUCCCAAAAAUUAUUAAUACAAUGUUAGUAUUACUUGGAUCGAAAGAAAGAGUUGCAAGUUUCCUACAUUUAUAUUGAACAAGUUUGAUGAUAAAAUGGUGAAUAGUUGAAUGAUAAGGAUUAAUUUAGGAUCA